UACAGAGGUCCCGAGCGUUACUGAGAAUCACUGGGUUUAAAGGGUGCGUAGGUGGUCCGUUAAGUCAGUUGUGAAAUCCCCGGGCUCAACUCGGGAACUGCUUCUGAUACUGGCGGACUUGAGGCCAGUAGGGGUCACUAGAACUGACGGUGGAGCGGUGAAAUGCGUAGAUAUCGUCAGGAAUGCCGGUGGUGAAGACGGGUGACUGGGCUGGUUCUGACACUGAGGCACGAAAGCGUGGGGAGCGAACGGG
rnacentral:rRNA from 1 species